rnacentral:rRNA from 1 species
GACGAACGCUGGCGGCGUGCUUAACACAUGCAAGUCGAACGGAAAGGCCCCCACCUUGGGGGGGGUGCUCGAGUGGCGAACGGGUGAGUAACACGUGGGUGAUCUGCCCUGUACUUCGGGAUAAGCUUGGGAAACUGGGUCUAAUACCGGAUAGGACCAUGGUUUAGUGUCUCAUGGUGGAAAAAUUAUUGUUUUGGUGCAGGAUGGGCUCGCGGCCUAUCAGCUUGUUGGUGGGGUAAUGGCCUACCAAGGCGUCGACGGGUAGCCGGCCUGAGAGGGUGGACGGCCAGAUUGGGACUGAGAUACGGGCCAGACUCCUACGGGAGGCAGCAGUGAGGAAUAUUGAACAAUGGGCGCAAGCCUGAUGCAGCGAGGCCGCGUGGGGGAUGACGGCCUUCGGGUUGUAAACUCCUUUCGUUAGGGACGAAGCCACACCUUUUUGGGGUGUGGUGACGGUACCUUUGUUAAGAAGCACCGGCUAACUACGUG